rnacentral:rRNA from 1 species
CCGGCUUACCAACCCGAUGCAAACUGCGAAUACCGGAGAAUGUUAUCACGGGAGACACACGGCGGGUGCUAACGUCCGUCGUGAAGAGGGAAACAACCCAGACCGCCAGCUAAGGUCCCAAAGUCAUGGUUAAGUGGGAAACGAUGUGGGAAGGCCCAGACAGCCAGGAUGUUGGCUUAGAAGCAGCCAUCAUUUAAAGAAAGCGUAAUAGCUCACUGGUCGAGUCGGCCUGCGCGGAAGAUGUAACGGGGCUAAACCAUGCACCGAAGCUGCGGCAGCGACACUGUGUGUUGUUGGGUAGGGGAGCGUUCUGUAAGCCUGUGAAGGUGUGUCGUGAGGCAUGCUGGAGGUAUCAGAAGUGCGAAUGCUGACAUAAGUAACGAUAAAGCGGGUGAAAAGCCCGCUCGCCGGAAGACCAAGGGUUCCUGUCCAACGUUAAUCGGGGCAGGGUGAGUCGACCCCUAAGGCGAGGCCGAAAGGCGUAGUCGAUGGGAAACGGGUUAAUAUUCCCGUACUUGGUGUUACUGCGAAGGGGGGACGGAGAAGGCUAUGUUGGCCGGGCGACGGUUGUCCCGGUUUAAGCGUGUAGGUGUGUGUUCCAGGUAAAUCCGGUUCACUUUAACACUGAGGCGUGACGACGAGGCACUACGGUGCUGAAGCAACAAAUGCCCUGCUUCCAGGAAAAGCCUCUAAGCAUCAGGUAACAUCAAAUCGUACCCCAAACCGACACAGGUGGUCAGGUAGAGAAUACCAAGGCGCUUGAGAGAACUCGGGUGAAGGAACUAGGCAAAAUGGUGCCGUAACUUCGGGAGAAGGCACGCUGACACGUAGGUGAAGUGAUUUACUCAUGGAGCUGAAGUCAGUCGAAGAUACCAGCUGGCUGCAACUGUUUAUUAAAAACACAGCACUGUGCAAACACGAAAGUGGACGUAUACGGUGUGACGCCUGCCCGGUGCCGGAAGGUUAAUUGAUGGGGUCAGCGCAAGCGAAGCUCCUGAUCGAAGCCCCGGUAAACGGCGGCCGUAACUAUAACGGUCCUAAGGUAGCGAAAUUCCUUGUCGGGUAAGUUCCGACCUGCACGAAUGGCGUAAUGAUGGCCAGGCUGUCUCCACCCGAGACUCAGUGAAAUUGAACUCGCUGUGAAGAUGCAGUGUACCCGCGGCAAGACGGAAAGACCCCGUGAACCUUUACUAUAGCUUGACACUGAACAUUGAGCCUUGAUGUGUAGGAUAGGUGGGAGGCUUUGAAGUGUGGACGCCAGUCUGCAUGGAGCCGACCUUGAAAUACCACCCUUUAAUGUUUGAUGUUCUAACGUGGACCCGUUACCCGGGUUGCGGACAGUGUCUGGUGGGUAGUUUGACUGGGGCGGUCUCCUCCUAAAGAGUAACGGAGGAGCACGAAGGUUGGCUAAUCCUGGUCGGACAUCAGGAGGUUAGU